UUACAACUAGUUUUCGUACUUUAACAAAACUCGUCCUCGGUUUUUGUUUUUUUGUUUUGUUUGUUUUGUUUUUGUGUUCCGGACAGCAGUUUUCGUAGCCAACGACGGGAUCUGUAAGCCAGGAGAAGACGAUGGUGCCCCGCACCCGAACGCCUCCCCAUCAAGCUGCUGAGGCCUUGGCACGCUGGCUCCUCUCUGCUGGCCCAGAUACGACAAUCUGGAAACCUGGCUCUUAGUGCUCUCUAAAAAGUAGCUCAUAGUAGGCACUCCAGCUUUUGCCCACUUGACAAAAACUCAAGGGAGGAAUCUCCAGACCCUGAUCAAAUACCACUGGUCUCAAGACAUUCAUCUAAGACACCCAGGAUUCCUUUGCCUGAUGUCUCAGGUGGGCAGAGACUGGGGAUGGAAUUGAAAGUUGCAUUUUAUUUCCAGUACCUAAUUGGGGGAAUACAAUACAAGUUUGUAUUCUACAAAUUUGCUUAUUAAAGUGAGAACUGAAAAAUGAAACUGGUAGGUGUGAGGUAACAAGAGAGUCCUCAUCAUUUUCCUUCCCUAAAUCCACUGUAGGAAACUGUGGCAUCUCGGGUCUAGUUAUGAAAAGCAGCAGUAGUAAUGCCAGUAGGACCCAGAGGAAGUGAUGUCUACCAGUAGUGGCUGUGAAUACUCUGCCUUCUUGUGUAGGUCUCCAAUUAGUAGGAUUUAAGUUCUUUAGCAAAAAUUGAGCACUUCCUGUAUAGUGGACACUCUUGGGAAAGGCAGUCUCCUCCUCACAGUCCUUUAAGCCCUACUCAACUAAAUAAGAAUGGGCCUUGGGCCUAGAAUACUUGCUUACCAAUAGUCCUAAAGAGCCUAUGUAGCCUGUUCUGGGCUUAUCACCUUAUGUGGGAAUAUCCUUCCCUGUGCCAGACUCAGUAUGUAAUCCUUUGUUCAGAUUAAGCACUAAGUCAAAUAUCCCUGGGGCAUGCUCCCCCACCCCGUUUCAGUAUUUCACACUCCAUGGGUAGGGGUGACUUGUGCUUAGGCACCAGAGUGGCACUCAGGCCUUUGGCUGCUGUGGAGGACCAAGGCACACUACUGGAGCUGAUCUUGGCUGUGUCUCUUCUGUGAGUAAAAAUGCUGUUCAUCCAGUGCUUGUGUUGUGUUUUCCUUGGCAACCGAUACUACAUAGUAGGCAGAAGUGUUUGGACUUCUGUCCCUGGUGACUAGCAUGAUCUUUGCUGUCUUCCAUGUAGUUGAAUCAUGGCCCUCCCCAUCCCUGGCAUGGGUACCAGCGCACUGUGUUCUGCUAGACAGAUACUAUGUUUGGCUAGGGUGGUUUAGUAACUCUUGGACCUUCCUUCCUGCCUUCUGCUUCCCUUUCCUUCAGUACCAUUGCCUCCCAACUGAUCUCUCUACGCUUGAACCUCCUGUCUAGGGAACAGCCCUGCUCCAAUUUCCCUUCAAGGCAAACCCAGAAAGAUUGUCUCAGCUAAGUACUAGAAGCAAAGCCAUGGAUCCUUUAGUCAUCCUAAGAGCCUUUCCUCAAACUCCAGACUAGAGUAGGGCCCCCUUACAUUUCAAAGGUAUGAAAAUACCUGUAUCUUUGAUAAUCUCCAAUCUGGCAGUGUGCCCCUAAGGAAUUGAGACAAUACACAACCAUUAAAAAAAAAAAAAAGUAAUGCUGAAUCUACUCAAAGACCUAUUAAGUAAUCAUGGUUAGGAAAACUACUUGCAACAGUGAAGUAUUUAUUUGUUAAGCAAAACAAAAUAAAAAGACCAAAGUGCUAAGUGAUGGCUAUACUGUAAUUAUAACUAUGGGAAGCAAAGGGGAAAAAUGACAGGGAAAUGUAUUAUGAUGGUCCCUCAGGCCACAGCAUAGAAGCAGGGCAAGGUCCCAGCCCACCAGAGGCUCCUCCAGUCAGCAUGCUUAGGUUUGAAGCUGGGUCCCACCACUGGAAGCUGCCUGACCAAGAGAAGUUACUUGAGGCCUCAUUUAUUACCCUUAUGUAAAAUAAGGAAAUGUAAUACUAGUGUCAGUCUCCUAGAGCUCCUAUACCAGUAAACAAAACAGAGUAUGUAAAGCACUUAAAAUAGUACCUGGAACACACAUAGUAAUACUCGAGUGUUAGUUGUUAUAAAAGAUGGAAUCACUAGAAGUUCUUCUUAAAUUCUUAAGUAUACAUACACAUACAUGUAAAGGUUCAAAUCUCAGCUUCAACAACUUACUAUGUGUGUAACCUGGGCAAGUUACUCAAUCUCUUUCUAUGCCUCAGUGUGUCUAUUUGUAAAAUGAAAAUCAUAAUGGUACUGUUCUGAACCAGUGUCCUCUCCUGUGAGUGACCACUCCAGCCACAGCUGUCCACAAUAUAAAGUUAUACAUAAACUCCUGUCCAGUGUAACAUUCUGAAAGGUGACUCAACUACGGUUCCACUUCCAUAGAAUGUAGGGUGCAUUAGAAAAUGAAAUACUCUAUAACACUGUAAACAGUAUAAAAGUUAAUUAUCAUUUUGUAGUUAGAUGUCAUGUCUGAAUUUAAGGGAUCUUUUAGAAGGAGCUUUCCAAAACGUUGGAAUAAAUUGUGUGUUCUCUCUUUUCUACAUGUGAUCUACACUAGAAUAGAAUCAACUUGUGGGCAAGAACAGUGUUAGAUAUUUCUUAUGGCUCUCACUAAAACUAGCACAGUGCUAAGAACAUAUUAAGGUUCAGUUAAUGCAUGCCAGUUAGGGAAUUGUGACUAAAAUUUGAGUUAUGCUUUAGCCUAGAACUGACAAUAAAUAAGCUUUAGUUAGGUAACAACAUUUACUUUCUCCUAACAUCUGCCUUAUCCAGAAACAGCUUAAAGCACUUCAUAUUCUUUCGGUGAAAUGAGAGAUCACAAACACCAAAGCAGUUGACUCUUCCAUUUUCCCAACAGUUACUCAGAAGGUCACACUUACCGAUUCUACUUAUUCUUCCUAACAGAACACUUUCCUGAUUACAGACUGAGAGCAAAAUUGCAAAUGAAAAGAAAAACAACCUUCUUAGACAUUUAUUUAAGGAAUCAAGAGUUUUAUAAAACUGUAACGUGUACUGUCAUUCUACUCACCAUACCACCUGAACACAGCUUUGCAUUUCAAACUGGAUUACUCUCUUAAAAUAUUGGAUUAUUAAAAACAACAAUAGUGAACUCUACCGAGUAUUUUUGCAUUUGCUUAUUGCAGUAUUAAUUAAAACAAUUUAUAAUUUUUAACACAUUUAACAGUUCAACAAAUGCAUGAUUCUUUUAAUCUGCCUGAAGUUGUAAGAGGACACUUCACUGGAGAAAACAUAUGAAAGUGCAGCAUUAAUU